rnacentral:rRNA from 1 species
UACGUAGGGUGCAAGCGUUGUCCGGAAUUAUUGGGCGUAAAGAGCUCGUAGGCGGUCUGUCGCGUCUGCUGUGAAAACUCGGGGCUUAACCCCGGGCCUGCAGUGGGUACGGGCAGACUAGAGUGCGGUAGGGGAGACUGGAAUUCCUGGUGUAGCGGUGAAAUGCGCAGAUAUCAGGAGGAACACCGGUGGCGAAGGCGGCUUACUGGUCCGGUUCUGACGCUGAGGCGCGAAAGCAUGGGGAGCAAACAGG